GAUGAACGCUGGCGGCGUGCCUAAUACAUGCCAGUCGAGCGAACAGAUGAGGAGCUUGCUCCUCUGACGUUAGCGGCGGACGGGUGAGUAACACGUGGAUAACCUACCUAUAAGACUGGGAUAACUUCGGGAAACCGGAGCUAAUACCGGAUAAUAUAUUGAACCGCAUGGUUCAAUAGUGAAAGACGGUUUUGCUGUCACUUAUAGAUGGAUCCGCGCCGCAUUAGCUAGUUGGUAAGGUAACGGCUUACCAAGGCAACGAUGCGUAGCCGACCUGAGAGGGUGAUCGGCCACACUGGAACUGAGACACGGUCCAGACUCCUACGGGAGGCAGCAGUAGGGAAUCUUCCGCAAUGGGCGAAAGCUUGACGGAGCAACGCCGCGUGAGUGAUGAAGGUCUUCGGAUCGUAAAACUCUGUUAUUAGGGAAGAACAAAUGUGUAAGUAAAUAUGCACGUCUUGACGGUACCUAAACAAAAAGCCACGGCUAACUACGUG
rnacentral:rRNA from 1 species